UACGGAGGGUGCGAGCGUUGUCCGGAAUCAUUGGGCGUAAAGGGCGCGUAGGUGGCGGGACAAGCGUGCGGUGAAAGCUCGGGGCUCAACCCCGCGUCGGCCGUGCGAACUGUUUUGCUUGAGCACUGUAGAGGCAGGCGGAAUUCCGGGUGUAGCGGUGGAAUGCGUAGAUAUCGGAAGGAACACCAGUGGCGAAGGCGGCUACCUGGACUGACACUGACGCUGAGGCGCGAGAGCGUGGGAGCAAACAGG
rnacentral:rRNA from 1 species